UACGGAGGGUGCAAGCGUUGUCCGGAUUUAUUGGGUUUAAAGGGUGCGUAGGCGGCUCGUUGCGUCGGCUGUGAAAACCCGCAGCUCAACUGUGGGCUUGCAGCCGAUACGGGCGGGCUUGGAUUCGGUAGGGGAGACUGGAAUUCCUGGUGUAGCGGUGAAAUGCGCAGAUAUCAGGAGGAACACCGGUGGCGAAGGCGGGUCUCUGGGCCGAUAUCGACGCUGAGGAGCGAAAGCGUGGGGAGCGAACAGG
rnacentral:rRNA from 1 species